rnacentral:rRNA from 1 species
GGGUCAGUAGGUUGGUCGUGCCACCGGUACGUACUGGUCUCACUGAUUCCUCCUUCCUGAAGAACCGUAAUGCCAUUAAUUUGGUGUUGCGGGGAAACAGGACUGUUACUUUGAAAAAAUUAGAGUGUUUAAAGCAAGCUAACGCUCGAAUACAUUAGCAUGGAAUAAUGAAAUAGGACGAUCGAUCCUAUUUUGUUGGUUUCUAGGAUUGACGUA